AUUGAACGCUGGCGGCAGGCCUAACACAUGCAAGUCGAGCGGAUGACGGGAGCUUGCUCCUUGAUUCAGCGGCGGACGGGUGAGUAAUGCCUAGGAAUCUGCCUGGUAGUGGGGGACAACGUUUCGAAAGGAACGCUAAUACCGCAUACGUCCUACGGGAGAAAGCAGGGGACCUUCGGGCCUUGCGCUAUCAGAUGAGCCUAGGUCGGAUUAGCCAGUUGGUGGGGUAACGGCUAACCAAGGCAACGAUCCGUAACUGGUCUGAGAGGAUGAUCAGUCACACUGGAACUGAGACACGGUCCAGACUCCUACGGGAGGCAGCAGUGGGGAAUAUUGGACAAUGGGCGAAAGCCUGAUCCAGCCAUGCCGCGUGUGUGAAGAAGGUCUUCGGAUUGUAAAGCACUUUAAGUUGGGAGGAAGGGCAGUAAGCUAAUACCUUGCUGUUUUGACGUUACCGACAGAAUAAGCACCGGCUAACUCUGUGCCAGCAGCCGCCGUAACAC
rnacentral:rRNA from 1 species